GAUUACUCCUACGGGAGGCAGCAGUAGGAAAUCUUCCACAAUGGACGAAAGUCUGAUGGAGCAACGCCGCGUGAGUGAAGAAGGUUUUCGGAUCGUAAAACUCUGUUGUAAGGGAAGAACACGUACGAGAGUAACUGCUCGUACCUUGACGGUACCUUAUUAGAAAGCCACGGCUAACUACGUGCCAGCAGCCGCGGUAAUAAU
rnacentral:rRNA from 1 species